UCUCAAUAGCUUCCACAAACUACGAAGCUUCUCAAGCAGCUUCUACGAAUUAGGAAGCUUCUCAAGCAACUUCCGCGAGCUUGAAAACUUCUCAAGUAGCUUCUACAAACUACAAAGCUUCUUUAAAACCUUCUAGAAUCUUCUACAACUUCCUAGUAUAUGUCCUUGACAUCACCCCCUCCCCCUUUAACUUUGAGGUCUCUGAGAAGCACUCCUAUUGCGAGGUGGUACCAAUAUAAGAAGUUAAAAAUUUGUCCCAUAGUGUCUGCAAUAUACUCCAAUUGUUGUUUGCAUGGCAAGUAGUUCAUUGGUCCUUGUAAUCAACGAUAGUAUCCUAUACCUUCAAUUUCUAACU
rnacentral:lncRNA from 1 species